rnacentral:rRNA from 1 species
GUCUAUGGUCAUACCACCCUGAAUAUGCCCAAUCUCAUCUGACCUCAGAAGCUAAGCAGGGUCAGGCCUGGUUAGUCCAUGGAUCGAAGACA